rnacentral:lncRNA from 1 species
AUGCACCUGGGUUUGAUGGAUCCAUGGCGAUGAUUUAUCUGGAUCUAGAUAUUAUGAAUCGAUCAAAAACUAUUCUGGGAAUUGAAAAAUGAUUAAAGGUAUAAAGUUUGAGAUAUAUUGUGUUCUUGGUUUGGUAUGGUGUUAGACAGCUAUAACUUUAUACAAUUAACAUGCGCAAAUUAGACUUGGUGUGAGUUAAGGACGAGACUUUUCUUUUCACCUUAUUCUAGGGACCCAGACAUGAAUUGUUCUUUUCGAGUUGCGUUUUUGUUCGUCAUUGCGGCAUGAACAUUGGCUGCGUCAUUGCGGCAUUCGCAGUCGAUGACUUGUUCAGAACAUUUUCAUGACAGGAUACUGAUUAAUGUCUUUGUCAAGCUGAUUAAUGCAUUUUUUAAAAAAAUUAUUUUUUAAAAAAUUUAUAAUUUUUAUUAAAAAUAAAUAAAUCUCAACUACUUAUAAAAAAAAAUUGAUAUUUAAUAUAUAUAAUAAAAAAGAUAAGAAGGCGAGAGGGUCAAGUUUACUUUAACGUGUCAAUGCAGGCCUUGUUUAUCAUUUCUCAACAAUCAAUUCAUUUCCUCGAAUCAGAGUGCAAAGUUCAAGUGGCCAAGCUAUAGAAACUAUGUUUGUUGGUUAUUGAGGUCCCAAGACAACGACCAUCAAUCAAUCAGUAUCAAUAUUAAUGCAGUAAAAUAUAAUAAUAAAACAGAUUUAAAAUAUAAAAAAUUAUAGAAAGAAGACACGUGGCUUUAUUCUUGAUUUAAAAUAAAAUUAUAAAACAGAUUCAAUAUCAUACAUGAAACAAAUAUACACAUGAGAAGUCGCAGACACUUAAGUAUCUUUGUUCUUGAUUCGAUUAGUUUUUUCCUUUAUUUUUAUUUGUCUAAAUGUUAAGUCCUUGUUUGGCACCAAGCAUGAUCAAUGACUAAUCAGUCAGUAAAUCACAACACGUUGACACAUGUCCAGUGUAAUGUAAACGUGUGUGUGUGUGUGUAAAAACACGUAUACUCAAAUGCUCAUUUUCUUUUACCUCUUCUUUUUUAUUUUUCAUUUAUUCUUCUUCCGCUAUAUCCAAUUUCACCCCAAAUUACGGUCUCCCACUCCAGCUACUGCCUUCAACAUGAUUUUUUUUAGUACAUUUGUAAUUUACGAAUGACACACGAUUUUUUUAAAUUACAAAAUUAUUGAGUAUAAGAUUCAAUAAUAAUAAAAAAAAAAACGUCGGAAGCAAAUCAAAAUCUUAUUUACUAUUAGUAAUUUUUUUUGUUAUUGUUGGAUUUAUUUCAUUGAAAUCUUUUCAACGAUAUCAGUAAUGUCGUCAUCGAAGCUUCGCUGUGUCCUUAUGAACUUUUUAUUUCUUUUGUUUUUUUUAUUUAUUUAUUAAAUCUUGUAUUCAAUAAUUUUGUAAUUUAAAAGUCUUGGAUAACACUUCUACUUACAAAUACACAACUCUAUAAAAUAUAUUAUUUUUCUAAAUAUUUUUUGUUCUAUAUUAUUUAAUCAUAUAUUUUUAUACUAAACUAGAGUCCCAACAAAAAAAACUCCUUCAACAUUGGAGGCCAAUUAUAAUGAUACGGUAGAAAACCCGUUUUUAAAAACCUACCAAAGACAUGAAUAGCAUCUAAGUAGCAAUAACUCUACCCACACAGCGAAAUCAUAAUGCUCCAUGAAUACAUGUUUCUUAUCGAACACCUUACGAGCUUCUUGAAGAAGCCCAGAUCCUGAGCAUCUAGUCAACAGCUUUUGAGGAGGCCGCAGUUAUAGAUUGUUGAAAAUUCUUAUUAUUAAAGACACCCUAAUUCUACUGUAAUUGGAGAGUGCACCGUCCAAUUUAAUACACAAGCCCAUGCUAAGUCUCUAGUCCAUGCCGCAAUAUUAACAGCGUUGCUUGAGCCCAAGUGUAGCUAGAGACAGUUCCCUCUCCGUUCUAAAGCGAAGGACGAAUAAGAAUCUGCGACUCAUUCUCUUUGUUUCAUACCAAAGAUGCUAAAAGGAGACAUUAAUGUCUUUCGAGUUAGCAUCACAACUGCUAACAGGGACUAAUCUAUGCAAGUGUCAUGGCCUUUCUCUUCACCAUUCCUAUCAGCAUCGUGACUGCCACAACAGACCAGGUAACUUGAUUGUAAGUUUGCUCCCUUUUAAAUCUUAAUCCGAGCUAGAGAUGAAUAUGUUCUGAAAUUCUUCAGCUUUAUCAUGUCUAAUUUAGCAUGCCCAGAAAACAUAAUAUUCCAAAAGUAUAAAUCUUUCUCAAACACUUUACAAGAGCUACGAUGAUAACCACAUAGUACAUACUUAUGAAUAUUAAAUUAUUGACUAAAGCUGAUAAAUUCAAAUUUAAUAGGACUUAAAAAUCUUUAAAGGUUAAAAAAUUCACGGUUUUAAAUAACAUGUCUAGAUCCAACCGCCCGCGAGCUCAACCUUGAAGAAAAGUCCGAUGUCAUGGGCUCAGCCUAUAAAAAGAGACCAUGAGUAUGCUUGGUAUUGUUUUAGCUUUUGUAGUUGUGAUUUGAAAAAAGUUGUUUUUAUAAAAAAUACUUUUAGUUGAGGUUGGUUUGAUAUUUAUAUAUGUUUGGUUAAAACUGUGGUUAAAAUUGAGAUUGAACAAAAAGUAGUUUAAUGUGUUUGGUUAAGAAUGCUUUUUAAAUUGAGGUUAUAAAAUAACUAUAAAAAAUAUAUAUUAAUAUUAAUGGUUUUGAAUUUAAAUAUUGUAGAUUUAACUACUACUAUUACAUCAUGAAAUAAAUAAUACUUUAUAUAUAAUAUUUUUUAUUGUUCCAUUAAACUAUCUACAAUUACAUUACGUACAAAAUUCAUCAGACAAUAACUAUAGUUUUCAUGAUUUUUUGAGCGUGCAAUAAAAUUAGGUAAAAUUUUAUCAGGAAUACAAUUGAGAUUACAAUGCGAGUAAAUUUAAUUCACUCUAAACUAGUUUUUCAAAUAAGUAAAAAAAAAAUAUUGUUCACGUUCACGUGAACAGUGCGAGUGAAAUCAAUUCACUGCACUGGUUUUUUGAAAAAAAACCGCACUGUUCACUUUAAUGAACAGUGCAGAGAAGAAAAGCAGCCAAGAGCUGCUUUGAUUUUUCCUGCGUUUUAAACGCAAUUUGCAGUUGGCCCAUCAGAGAAAAAAAAAUUGCAUUUUUGUGUUUACCAAACAAUUGUUUGGUUGUGGUUGGUUCAAACGCAAAAGCAACCACGCAAACAAACGGACUCAGCCUAUAAAAAGAAACCAAUUCUCAUGGGCUUUGCUGUAAGAAAAGAGCCCACUGCCAUGGGUUAUUUCCAAUAGACAAAGUCCAUCACACUGGGCUCUUUCCCUGGGCUUUUUUAUUUCAUGGUCCGAUUUCGAUGAUUUUUUUUCUCUUAUUUCUCAAACCAGGAGCUAAUAAAUAACAAAAAUAAACUUUUAUAUCAAAAUUGGAUUGAAAACAUAUUGAGGGAUCAAAUAUGUAUAGGUUGUAAAGUUUGAGAACUAAAAUAAAUGUUUUGUGUGAACUUUAAAACUAUCAUCUUAUGACGGUUUUUCUACUUUGAUUCCAUGUCUUUGAAUUUUAUUUUUAGUAUAUAAAUUUGAUUGAAUUAUCCUUGAGUUUGAUCCAAGAAUGAUGGAAUCGCACAAAACAAAUUAAGGGUCAAAUUAAAAAAAAAAAUAGAAAAUUUUAAACAGAAUAUCUAUGGUAAAAUAUGAAAGAGUGAAUAUCCUGUGUGUGAACAGUGAAAUAACAAUAUUUUUUUAGAUUUAUAGUAAUAAUAAUAAUAAUAUUGAAGAUGAUUAAACAAAAACAAGAAGAAAAAAAAGAAAAGACUUUUUUCAUGGAUGAGUUUAUCCCUUAAUCAUUCAAGCCGUGUACGAAGUGCAUAAAUACGAGUAGUAAUAAAAAUCCCGCAAUCUCAAUUCCCAAACAAAUAAGAUACCACCAGUCGAAUUGAAAACACAAAAACAAAAGCAAGCUCAGACCUUCAUUUAUUACCACUAUAGUUUAUGUCUUACACGCACAUGCCAUUGGAUAAACCAUAUUAAAAUCUGUUUAUGUUCUGAGGGUAAAACAGAAUAAAGAAACAAGGAAGAGUAUGUAAGUAAUCCAAUAAGAAGAUGCCACGCUCUCCACAAACUGACAUCAUUUUUACUAAUUGUAGCACAGUAGAUCACCCACUCUAUCGGGUCAUGCCUUGUCCAACUACCGGAGCCGAUGGAGCCACGGUGCCACUUGGUCCCUGCAAACUCUCUUGCCAACCUGAUAAUUUCCAAAUAAAAAAAUAGAAAAGUUAAUCUAUAAUUUUGCUAUCCCAGAUGUGCAACUGACCAAGGAAUAUAAGGGUGAAAUAUAUACCACUAGCCAUAUCGAAUCCACGGUGCUUGAGCUCGCGGUACUCUUGGCACAGGGCGCAAGACUCACAGCAGCAGUGAACCAAAAAGUCAUUGCAACGACUCUCCUCUAACAUGUAUUGCGUCCUUAAUUUGGACCGGUAGAGGCAUGAGUACAGGCAGCUGCAACAAGUGAAGCACAAAAGCAAUCCAUAAAUUGCUCCACUCACAGCACAAGCUGCAAAAAACCAAAGAAUUCUUUCAUAAAAAUCACAAAUAAUUAUAUAGAAAAAAAAGAAGAAGUAACAUCCAAAAUCAACUAGACACGCGACAAUUGAUUGCUAGCAAAUUAUCAGCAAUCAACAAUAAAGCCUAUGAACCACUAUAUUAUUUACUUACGUGUUGUUCCUUUAUCUGUAAUCUCAGCAAUCCGUCCAAAAGUGAUACAUGGACACCAAUACGUGAGGCAACCUGCAAUUAAUAGGAACAGGUUAAAUGUAAUAAUAUAGCUAAAGAUUCAUAGCCCAUGUUCUAUUUUUACACGUGGCCAAAACGAAACUAAAAGGCUAUCUCGCUUAUUCAUGAGAACUUGUACUUACAACUAGGGACAUCGGAACAACAAUCACAGAGGCCAGAGGACCAACGAGCCUGCUGUCCAUGCUGCCGCUGUUGAUGAUGAUGGGGAUGCUGCGGAUUCUCAUUGAUAUACAGGGUUGCAUGUCCCACUGGAAUGUUGAUAUACUGGCUUGCAUGUCCCACUGGAAUGCCGGUCUCGGGGGGUGGGUAUGCAGGCUGUGGCUUUGUGUCUAUUUCAAGGCUGAUGCACCUGGCUUUGAUGGAUCCAUGGCGAUGAUUUAUCUGGAGCUAGAUAUUAUGAAUCGAUCAAAAACCAUUCUGGGAAUUGAAAAAUGAUUAAAGGUAUAAAGUUUGAGAUAUAUUGUGUUCUUGGUUUGGUAUGGUGUUAGACAGCUAUAACUUUAUAGGAAGCACUUAUACAAUUAACAUGCGCAAAUUAGACUUGGUGUGAGUUAAGGACGAGACUUUUCUUUUCACCUUAUUCUAG